UUUCCGUAGGUGAACCUGCGGAAGGAUCAUUACAGAGUUCAUGCCCGAUAGGGUAGACCUCCCACCCUUUUGUAUUAUUACUUUGUUGCUUUGGCGAACGCAAUUUCGCCAGAGAAUACCAAAACUCUUUUUAUCAAUAUCGUCUGAGUACUAUAUAAUAGUUAAAACUUUCAUCAACGGAUCUCUUGGUUCUG
rnacentral:misc_RNA from 1 species